GAAAUGCGAUAAGUAAUGUGAAUUGCAGAAUUCAGUGAAUCAUCGAAUCUUUGAACGCACCUUGCGCUCCUUGGUAUUCCUUGGAGCAUGCCUGUUUGAGUAUCAUGAAAUCUUCAAAGUAAAUCUUUGUUAACUCAAUUGGUUUCUACUUUGGUAUUGGAGGUCUUUGCAGCUUCACACCUGCUCCUCUUUGUUCAUUAGCUGGAUCUCAGUGUUAUGCUUGGUUUCACUCGGCGUGAUAAGUUAUCUAUCGCUGAGGACACUGUAAAAGGUGGCCAAGGUAAAUGCAGAUGAACCGCUUCUAAUAGUCCAUUGACUUGGACAAUACUUUUAUGAUCUGAUCUCAAAUCAGGUAGGACUACCCGCUGAACUUAAGC
rnacentral:misc_RNA from 1 species